rnacentral:rRNA from 1 species
AAAGAGCUCGUAGGCGGUCUGUCGCGUCGGCUGUGAAAACCCAGGGCUCAACCCUGGGCCUGCAGUCGAUACGGGCAGACUAGAGUUCGGUAGGGGAGACUGGAAUUCCUGGUGUAGCGGUGAAAUGCGCAGAUAUCAGGAGGAACACCGGUGGCGAAGGCGGGUCUCUGGGCCGAAACUGACGCUGAGGAGCGAAAGCGUGGGGAGCGAACAGGAUUAGAUACCCCGGU